rnacentral:rRNA from 1 species
GACGAACGCUGGCGGCGUGCCUAAUACAUGCAAGUAGAACGCACAGUUUAUACCGUAGCUUGCUCCACCAUAGACUGUGAGUUGCGAACGGGUGAGUAACGCGUAGGUAACCUGCCUGGUAGCGGGGGAUAACUAUUGGAAACGAUAGCUAAUACCGCAUAAUAUUAAUUAUUGCAUGAUAAUUAAUUGAAAGGUGCAAUUGCACCACUACCAGAUGGACCUGCGUUGUAUUAGCUAGUAGGUGAGGUAACGGCUCACCUAGGCGACGAUACAUAGCCGACCUGAGAGGGUGAUCGGCCACACUGGGACUGAGACACGGCCCAGACCCCUACGGGAGGCAGCAGUGGGGAAUCUUCGGCAAUGGACGAAAGUCUGAACGAGCAACGCCGCGUGAGUGAAGAAGGUUUUCGGAUCGUAAAGCUCUGUUGUAAGAGAAGAACGGGUGUGAGAGUGGAAAGUUCACACUGUGACGGUAUCUUACCAGAAAGGGACGGCUAACUACGUG